GAACACGAUUUAGAAUUGCAAAGUCAAGCGGAUCGCCUCGCCUGUAAUGGGUGGGUGAUGGCUUGGGGAAAUUCCCCGGACACCAGGGCAGAAAGUGCCAGCGUCGAAGCGUAGAUUCCCUUGCGACGAAGCUGCGAAGAGGGCCGCGCGCGCGCAAGCGUGUGUGGUCGGAGCAUUUUAGCGGAGUUGCGAGGACUGAUCGUCAUACUAAAAGUUAUGCAAUUGGCUCAGCGGCACUCUACAGACGUCGUGCUGUAGUCGUUUAGAGCUAACCCGACGGGGAUUACUCAUGUUGUGUU
rnacentral:RNase_MRP_RNA from 2 species